UUGCAACAGCAAGCAUGGACUUUGCAGACCGAAAGACUUGGGUUUGAAUCCCAGCUCUGUCACCAUCCGACUGUGUGAUAUGGGGUUUUGCAGGCUCAUCCUUGGGGCCAGGACUAUAGAGAGGCAAGUGACCAGACGCCGAAGACAAAAAUUCCUCCAGGUUCAAACUUGCCCUACCCUGCUUUGAUGCAUAAGCAGUUGACUCAGUAAAGAUGUGUCUCUGACCCAG
rnacentral:antisense_RNA from 1 species